rnacentral:rRNA from 1 species
CCGGAAAAAGAGGAGUGGCGAACGGGUGAGUAACACGUGGGUAACCUGCCCAUCAGAAGGGGAUAACACUUGGAAACAGGUGCUAAUACCGUAUAACAAUCGAAACCGCAUGGUUUUGAUUUGAAAGGCGCUUUCGGGUGUCGCUGAUGGAUGGACCCGCGGUGCAUUAGCUAGUUGGUGAGGUAACGGCUCACCAAGGCGACGAUGCAUAGCCGACCUGAGAGGGUGAUCGGCCACAUUGGGACUGAGACACGGCCCAAACUCCUACGGGAGGCAGCAGUAGGGAAUCUUCGGCAAUGGACGAAAGUCUGACCGAGCAACGCCGCGUGAGUGAAGAAGGUUUUCGGAUCGUAAAACUCUGUUGUUAGAGAAGAACAAGGAUGAGAGUAACUGUUCAUCCCUUGACGGUAUCUAACCAGAAAGCCACGGCUAACUACGUGCCAGCAGCCGCGGUAAUACGUAGGUGGCAAGCGUUGUCCGGAUUUAUUGGGCGUAAAGCGAGCGCAGGCGGUUUCUUAAGUCUGAUGUG